AUGCCAUGCGCACUCGUAUCUCUUGCUGACACACCAAAUCAAAGUAUACGCGUAUACAAGCUGCAACAAACUAACGUGGCCUCACUCUGUUUAUUUUUGCUUGUUCCCUUUCAGUUUUUCGAAGCAAGAGACAUCAAUGGCGCUAGAGAAGAAUUACUUAAUAUUUUUCAGAGAAACAUCGACAACAAUAUCAUUUAUUUUGAUGGCUGGAGUCGUUUUGGGGCAGCUGCAGUACUUAAAUCCAUAGCACAAGCGGUUCCAGCAAUGAAAGCACCUCCCCCGGAAUUACAGUUUGGCAGAACAAUUUAUGUAGAUUGCUCAACCUGGAUAAGCAAAAGGGUGAUGCAGAGAAGAAUCGCAGAGGAGCUCAAACUUGACCAUGAGACCAUGGCCUUGUUUGACAAGCAGGAUGAGGAGGAUGACUUCCAUGGGGUGGACCAAGGCUCCAGGGAUGUGAUACGGAAGGUUUCUGCAAUAAUUCACCAAACCCUGAUAGAAAGUAGAUUUCUGAUGCUUUUUCUUAAUGGAAGUGACGAGGAGGUUUUCUUAAGCCGGUUUGGUAUCCCAGAGUACAACUGCAUAGUAAUAUGGAGUUUUACAAGAUGGCUUUUUACCAUUCAGAACUAUGCAAACAAGAAAGAAGAUAAGAUAAGACACACAAGUCUUUUCAUUUGCAACUACCAUCCCUACCUUUUGCGAAGCUCACAGAUUAGUGCAUUGUUUCGUGAAGAGACUGAUAGCAUAGUUGCUCGCCACCCAUGUAUGUCGGACAUCGAUCCAACACUGGUUACAGUUUGUUGUCUUUACAGAUUGCUAAUGCAGUACAUUUUUCAGAGCAAUACUCUAUUUGCUUGGACUUCAGCUCAUGCUCCCAACUAUUGGAUGUGCGAUGGCAUCAUUCAAGGGAGUCGAGCAAGGGAGAUUAGUAAUGCAUUGCAUAAAGAAAUAAGUUUUUCUGAGCGGUGUGAAGCCGAAGAGUUCGAGAUGGUGUGUGGCAAUUUAAUGGAAGAUCCAAGUACUCCUUUUGUGUUGGUUACAGAUGGCAAUAUGCCGUUGAGAAAUGGGUCUCCCCGUUGGGUUUCUAUCACCUUGAAGUACAAGAAACUACAGGAGGAUACAAAAACUCUGUUGGCAAGGGCAUCAUCAGUCUUCAUACAACUCAAAGGAAAUUAUUGGUCAUCUGGAUUACCAAAUGGCUUGUUUCAAGGGUGCAACAAUCUUGCAGUGCUUACUCUAUCUUGUUGUGCCUUCAGUUUUGCAUGGCCACCUUUCCUCCACUGCAAUAAAUUAAGAUUCCUUGGAUUAGACCACUGCACAAAUCUUGACAAGGCCAAACUUGAAGAACUGAGUAGCAGCACCAAGUGGACAUGUCUGCAUAGCUUGUAUGUGCUUGAUCUGCGUUACACUUGUUGGGAAGAGAUUUUAUCCGAGGAAAAUGUGGAUCUUAUGGCGAACAUCAUGGAGCUAAACAUAGAGGGAGUUAGGGAUUGGCAGUACAUAAACAAAUUACAGAAAAGGUUGCCUUGCCUUCAAAGGCUCCGAAUUAUCAAACCUCCACGUCAAGCCAACAAGACAUCAAUUGACAUGAACGAGUCAUUUAGGGACAAGGCAAAGUUAGAAAUACUUGAUUUGUCUGGUAACAGUGACAUGGAAAACCUUCCAACAAGCCUAUCAAUGGCAAACAAACUUGAGGUGCUUGUUCUUGAUGGUUGUUGCGGGCUAGAAAAUGUCUUGCUAACUAACUCCUCGCUGAGAUCAUUCAGUUUUGAUGCUUAUGGAGCAUCAUCCCAAUGGACAUCAGCCUCUGAGCUACUACCUCCAGAAAGUUUUCGCCCACAACGUCCAUCUGCUGAUGUGGAUAAGAAGGAUGUCAAAACCUUCAAGAUAUCCCUAGAAGGGUGCACACAGUUGGAAAAUUUGUUUUUGCGUGGGCUACCCAAUCUAGUGGAGCUAGACCUUUCAGGUUGCGCGAUCAAGGUACUUGACCUCAGAACUAGGGUGAUGGAUGUCCCAAACCUCAAAAGACUCUUUUUGCUGGGUUGUGAGCACUUUCGUUCAAUAAGGUGUGGCUCAUAUGUGGAAACAAAAAAGCUGGAGUUGCUCUGUAUAGACACACGGCCCUGGCCUGGGAGAGCACUUCGGCCAUCAAUUGUGCAGCAUAAAACAUUUCGGCUGCAGGUCCAUAUUAUAACUGCGGAUGCUAGGCUCGCUCGGUCCUUGCAUGGUCUGACAUCUGAAUGGGAAAGCAAUUAUUAUUUCAAUAUCAGCAUCACUUCUUCGAGUGUCUCUACUGGGGUUGCUCAACCUACAGAAGCCAACAGUGGAAAGGUUGUUGUAGCAGCACUCUAUGGUGAUAUCUGCAAUGAGGUUGGCCUGAUGUGGGACUUCCCACAACCUCCAACAUCACAAUUUGACUGUCAUAUCGAGAUUGGUGAUGGGAGCUGCAAUGUGGAGAGUGAAUUGCAAUUACAUCGAGAUAGGUUAGGUUUCCUGAUGAGACGGUUUGUCCAAUCCUUGCAUGUGCAUGAUGCCUCGUUUAGAGAUCCUGCCAUGCCUGCAACUUCAGCUCUUUGA
rnacentral:rRNA from 1 species